rfam:Blautia sp. CAG:237 genomic scaffold, scf90
ACCCGAAUUGGGAAUGAAGUUCUCCCAUGGGAAACCUAAACUGCUUAUUCAGAGCUGAUGACUUCUACGAUUAU